ACCCCAUGAAGUUUUGGAUCUCCUCUCUCUGUGGGCAGCUCCUCCUCUCUGUGCACCGCUAUCUACCCGUGCAUCUUCCUUCAAAGUUGCUGUCCUUUCUGUAGAUUGAAACAAAAGGGAAAAAGAGCAGAAACAUAAAGCGAAAAUCUUUGAAAAUGCUUAAACAAAAGAACAAAGUUUGAAGUAUCCAUCCAAAUCAAGAAGUAUUUAGAUAUCUAGCAAUUUUUCUCUAUCUAGCAGUUUGAAGUAUCCAUCCAAAUGAAGAUGUAUGAUGUAAUAGUUAGUUGUAAACUCAUGGUUCGGACCGUACGUGUAAUGAGCAGGUGCCUAGAAAUAAUGAGAUCAGAAAAUGGCCAUUUGGCUCCCUGAAUCA